rnacentral:rRNA from 1 species
GAUGAACGCUGGCGGCGUGCUUAACACAUGCAAGUCGAACGGUAAGGCCCUUCGGGGUACACGAGUGGCGAACGGGUGAGUAACACGUGGGUGAUCUGCCCUGCACUUCGGGAUAAGCCUGGGAAACUGGGUCUAAUACCGGAUAGGACCACUGCCUGCAUGGGUGGUGGUGGAAAGCUUUUGCGGUGUGGGAUGGGCCCGCGGCCUAUCAGCUUGUUGGUGGGGUGAUGGCCUACCAAGGCGGCGACGGGUAGCCGGCCUGAGAGGGUGACCGGCCAGCCGGGGACUGAGAUACGGCCCAGACUCCUACGGGAGGCAGAAGGGGGGAAUAUUGCACAAUGGGCGCAGGGCUGAUGCCGCGACGCCGCGUGAGGGAUGACGGCCUUCGGGGUGUAAACCUCUUUCAGCACCGACGAAGCGCAAGUGACGGUAGGUGCAGAAGAAGGACCGGCCAACUACGUGCCAGCCGCCGCCGUAA